GGGAAGGUAGCUCAGUGGUACAGUGCUUGCCUUGUAUGCAAGAGGCCCUGGGUUCUAUAUUAGAUUCCCUUCUUUCUA
rnacentral:tRNA from 1 species